rnacentral:rRNA from 1 species
UACGUAGGGUCCGAGCGUUGUCCGGAAUUAUUGGGCGUAAAGAGCUCGUAGGCGGUUUGUCGCGUCUGCUGUGAAAUCCCGAGGCUCAACCUCGGGCCUGCAGUGGGUACGGGCAGACUGGAGUGCGGGUAGGGGAGAAUGGAAUUCCUGGUGUAGCGGUGAAAUGCGCAGAUAUCAGGAGGAACACCGGUGGCGAAGGCGGGUCUCUGGGCCGAUACUGACGCUGAGGAGCGAAAGCGUGGGGAGCAAACAGG